rnacentral:rRNA from 1 species
GAUGAACGCUGGCGGCGUGCCUAAUACAUGCAAGUCGAGCGAACGGACGAGAAGCUUGCUUCUCUGAUGUUAGCGGCGGACGGGUGAGUAACACGUGGAUAACCUACCUAUAAGACUGGGAUAACUUCGGGAAGCCGGAGCUAAUACCGGAUAAUAUUUUGAACCGCAUGGUUCAAAAGUGAAAGACGGUCUUGCUGUCACUUAUAGAUGGAUCCGCGCUGCAUUAGCUAGUUGGUAAGGUAACGGCUUACCAAGGCAACGAUGCAUAGCCGACCUGAGAGGGUGAUCGGCCACACUGGAACUGAGACCCGGUCCAGACUCCUACGGGAGGCAGCAGUAGGGAAUCUUCCGCAAUGGGCGAAAGCCUGACGGAGCAACGCCGCGUGAGUGAUGAAGGUCUUCGGAUCGUAAAACUCUGUUAUUAGGGAAGAACAUAUGUGUAAGUAACUGUGCACAUCUUGACGGUACCUAAUCAGAAAGCCACGGCUAACUACGUG